rnacentral:rRNA from 1 species
UUCACCGGAGCUUGCUCCACCGAAAGAAAAGGAGUGGCGAACGGGUGAGUAACACGUGGGUAACCUGCCCAUCAGAAGGGGAUAACACUUGGAAACAGGUGCUAAUACCGUAUAACAAUCGAAACCGCAUGGUUUCGGUUUGAAAGGCGCUUUUGCGUCACUGAUGGAUGGACCCGCGGUGCAUUAGCUAGUUGGUGAGGUAACGGCUCACCAAGGCAACGAUGCAUAGCCGACCUGAGAGGGUGAUCGGCCACAUUGGGACUGAGACACGGCCCAAACUCCUACGGGAGGCAGCAGUAGGGAAUCUUCGGCAAUGGACGGAAGUCUGACCGAGCAACGCCGCGUGAGUGAAGAAGGUUUUCGGAUCGUAAAACUCUGUUGUUAGAGAAGAACAAGGAUGAGAGUAGAAUGUUCAUCCCUUGACGGUAUCUAACCAGAAAGCCACGGCUAACUACGUGCCAGCAGCCGCGGUAAUACGUAGGUGGCAAGCGUUGUCCGGAUUUAUUGGGCGUAAAGCGAGCGCAGGCGGUUUCUUAAGUCUGAUGUGAAAGCCCCCGGCUCAACCGGGGAGGGUCAUUGGAAACUGGGAAACUUGAGUGCAGAAGAGGAGAGUGGAAUUCCAUGUGUAGCGGUGAAAUGCGUAGAUAUAUGGAGGAACA